UGGGGAAUCUUGGACAAUGGGCGCAAGCCUGAUCCAGCCAUGCCGCGUGAGUGACGAAGGUCUUCGGAUUGUAAAGCUCUUUUAGCAGGGAAGAUAAUGACGGUACCUGCAGAAUAAGCCCCGGCUAACUUCGUGCCAGCAGCCGCGGUAAUACGAAGGGGGCUAGCGUUGUUCGGAAUUACUGGGCGUAAAGCGCACGUAGGCGGAUUGAUAAGUUAGAGGUGAAAUCCCGGGGCUCAACCUCGGAACUGCCUUUGAUACUGUUAGUCUCGAGUCCGAUAGAGGUGAGUGGAAUUCCUAGUGUAGAGGUGAAAUUCGUAGAUAUUAGGAAGAACACCAGUGGCGAAGGCGGCUCACUGGAUCGGUACUGACGCUGAGGUGCGAAAGCGUGGGGAGCAAACAGGAUUAGAUACCCCUGUAGUCCCUGAGCGGGCUGGCAAGGCGCAU
rnacentral:rRNA from 1 species